UAAAUCUUUCAUAUGCAGUCAUGGUCAGUUGUUUACUGGCUAGUUCCAGUAGCCACCUAGUGCUACUAUAUAUGUAUGUAACCCGGGUUUAUAAGGCCCUGGUUAUUUAUUUAUUUAUUUAUUUGUUUGUUUAUUUACUUUUCGUCUUUAGCUGCACCUUAAGUAUUGACGCUAUGUUACUGCUCCUUUAAGAGAAGCAGUUGCGACUCCGGUGCAUGAAAGGUGCGAGGAGUGAUCAUCUUUUUUUUUAUAAGCUAUCUUUGACGUUUUUUGCCUUCCUGCUUGCGGUGCUGGGUGGUGUCUGUCGUCCUGGAUUUUUGGAAUUUGAAAAGAAUAGAGAAGAAAAGAAAAUAGAGGAGAUAGCAGACUGGAACAUCACUGGAUACUUUGGAGUUUCCAAGGAGCUGUCAUUUUGUGCGGCUAUUGACCGAGUGAAGGAAAAUCAUUCCCGGCUGUUUUUUUGUGUUGACAUCCUUCUGCUGGAUUCCUGGUGCUUCCGUCCACCGUCUCCUACUGCGACAGACCUGCUUCUCCACCCUGAUUCCCCAUCUUGCUUCCCCAUCCUGGACACCACUUGGUUCAACAACCAUUGACUUUGGACUUGCUUUUGAGGGAGGGCGGUAGGACGAGUGCACUCGUUUUAUUUCAUUUAAUUCCUUGGUCUAUUGGUCUUGUUUUUUUGGAGUUUUUUUCAUUUAUUGUUUUCCUGAGAUCUCAGAGUUUUGUUUUAAAUGUUCUUUCAUGAUCUGGAUAGACCUGUGUUCUGGUUGAAUUUGAACUAAAUUAUAGUAACUGAUUGUUGAAGACAACUGAAGAUAAUUUCAUUUUCUUUUAUUAUUUCACUGCUAUUUUUUUUUCCAGUAUUCAAUUUUAUUAUUUCUGAGCUGCUGAAAUUGCAAAAUUUCUAUUCUGCAUUUCAGUGAUUAUACUUCCUUUUAAAACUUUA